rnacentral:rRNA from 1 species
GAGUUUGAUCAUGGCUCAGGAUGAACGCUAGCGGCAGGCUUAACACAUGCAAGUCGAGGGGUAUAGUUCUUCGGAAUUAGAGACCGGCGCACGGGUGCGUAACGCGUAUGCAAUCUACCUUUCACAGAGGGAUAGCCCAGAGAAAUUUGGAUUAAUACCUCAUAGUAUAACGACUCUGCAUGGAGAUGUUAUUAAAGUCACAACGGUGAAAGAUGAGCAUGCGUCCCAUUAGCUAGUUGGUAAGGUAACGGCUUACCAAGGCUACGAUGGGUAGGGGUCCUGAGAGGGAGAUCCCCCACACUGGUACUGAGACACGGACCAGACUCCUACGGGAGGCAGCAGUGAGGAAUAUUGGACAAUGGGCGCAAGCCUGAUCCAGUCAUGCCGCGUGCAGGAUGACGGUCCUAUGGAUUGUAAACUGCUUUUGCCCAUGA